rnacentral:SRP_RNA from 1 species
AACAAAGCUAGACGGCAGUAGUCUUGUGAACUCCGCCAGGAUCGAAAGAUAGCAACGGUAGCAUGGUUCGCUGGGUGUCUAGCUUUUUUAUU